rnacentral:lncRNA from 1 species
AAGUAAAACGGGUGAUAAUAAAAAACGGGUGAUAAUAAAAAACGGGUGAUAAUAAAACUGUGAUGGUGACAAAAGAUGAGACACCUGAUGCCACUGGGCUGCUCACAUGGGCCACACACACACGCACACGCACACGCACACACACACACACACACACACACACACACACACACACACACACACACACACACACACACACACACACACACACACAUACACACACACACACACACACACACGUACACACACGUACACACGUUUCUGCUUCCCUCUGUUUGCUCCUUUAUGCACGUUCAAGUAAAGAGUUCAUGAAAACAAAGACUGAAAUGAGACGAGUGACAGGCGAGAUGGCGACAAAGAGACAGAGAUGAGCAACAGGACAGGGCAGGAAAAGGGCAGAGGAGGGGAGGAGUUAGGAGAGGAGAUAAAGAGGAAGGUCCGAGGAGGCGAGGGACUGAACGCAGGAGGAAGUCAGACCCAGAGAGCAGCGGCCAUGAAUGCAGCUCGGAUCCACGACAAACAGAGGGUGACGUCGUUCUGGGAGCGGUGGAUCAUUGAGCAGAGCCGACACACGGAGGAAGAGGAGCAGCGCAGCCGGAGCAGCGCUCUGCCACGACUGAGGGAUCAGUGGGUGGUCAGGCUGAAUACGAGGAAUCAGCACCAACUGAGUUUCUUGGAGGAGAGGCUCAGACGGGCUCAGAAAGCUCAGCUGCAGAGCCCCGGGAAGCUCACCUCAGCCUGCAGCCAGCACAUCAGCCCAAUCAGCUCCACGGCAACGAGCCUCCACUGAGGUGUACAGUAAAAUGUGCAAAGGUCCAACAAGCAGCUCUGAAAACAGAAGUUUGAGGUUAUUCCUUUACUGCCCUCCUGUUGGUACUGUCAUAAGGUUACCCCCAGUGUGUGUGUGUGUGUGUGUGUGUGUGUGUGUGUGUGUGUGUGUGUUUGGUGUGUGUGUGCCUGUGAUCAUCUGUUUGUGAUGGAUACCGACACAUCAUGUGAAUGUGAUUAUCAACAAUCCGUUGCUGCCAACACGUCUUUUAGCCGUCAGCGUAGCUUCACCCAGACCUGACGAUGAGUCCAACCACUCUCUGGCUCGUAGCUGGUAACCGGUCUGAUGCCACUGCCAAGAAACAUGCGCUUAAUGUUUGUGAAAGUAGCUGUCUGUACUGAGUUCACACCAGAACCUGCCAUAAACAAUGUUUCCAACACAUUUAGCCUGUAGGUAAAUCCAUGUAAAUGUCGGCCAGUUUUAGCUUCAGGGAUAUUAAUCAUCGUAUUUAACUGAGGUUGGACCUCAUCACUAGGAUGCCGAUAAAUAAAUCCGCAACAGGAAGAGUCA